rnacentral:rRNA from 1 species
AUACGGAGGGUGCAAGCGUUACUCGGAAUCACUGGGCGUAAAGGGCGCGUAGGCGGUCUUGUCGGUCAGAUGUGAAAGCCCAGGGCUCAACCCUGGACGUGCAUUUGAAACAGCAAGACUUGAGUACGGGAGAGGAAAGCGGAAUUCCUGGUGUAGAGGUGAAAUUCGUAGAUAUCAGGAGGAACACCGAAGGCGAAGGCAGCUUUCUGGACCGAUACUGACGCUGAGGCGCGAAGGCGUGGGUAGCGAACAGGAUUAGAAACCCCGGUAGUCC